rnacentral:rRNA from 1 species
GACGAACGCUGGCGGCGUGCUUAACACAUGCAAGUCGAACGGAAAGGCCCUGCUUUUGUGGGGUGCUCGAGUGGCGAACGUGUGAGUAACACGUGAGUAACCUGCCCUUGACUUUGGGAUAACUUCAGGAAACUGGGGCUAAUACCGGAUAGGAGCUCCUGCUGCAUGGUGGGGGUUGGAAAGUUUCGGCGGUUGGGGAUGGACUCGCGGCUUAUCAGCUUGUUGGUGGGGUAGUGGCUUACCAAGGCUUUGACGGGUAGCCGGCCUGAGAGGGUGACCGGACACAUUGGGACUGAGAUACGGCCCAGACUCCUACGGGAGGAAGCAGUGGGGAAUAUUGCACAAUGGGCGGAAGCCUGAUGCAGCAACGCCGCGUGCGGGAUGACGGCCUUCGGGUUGUAAACCGCUUUCGCCUGUGACGAAGCGUGAGUGACGGUAAUGGGUAAAGAAGCACCGGCUAACUACGUG